CCGCAGAACUGCUUGCCCCUUAUACUGGCGAUAUUGUUGCAGAAGGGAUCAGCAAGACCCUGCGCGGUGGGGCUACGUUUUUAUGCCGUACCGUUCAACGUCAGCAGCGUUAUGUUGCCGAAGCGAUCACCGAAGAGUGGCGCAUGGCCCCGGGCCCGCUGGAAGUUGCAUGGUUUGCCGAAGAAACCGCUGCCGUUGAGCGUGCGGUCGACUCCCUGGCCAAACGGCUGGAAAAACUGGAGGCCAAAUGA
rnacentral:sRNA from 1 species